GCAAGUCGUGCGAGAAAGUUCUUCGGAUAUGAGUAGAGCGGCGGACGGGUGAGUAACGCGUAGGAAUCUACCUAGUAGAAGGGGAUAGCCCGGGGAAACCCGGAUUAAUACCGUAUACCUCCUUCGGGAGAAAGAAGGCCUCUCUUUGAAGCUUUCGCUACUAGAUGAGCCUGCGUAAGAUUAGCUUGUUGGUGAGGUAAAGGCUCACCAAGGCUACGAUCUUUAGCUGGUCUGAGAGGACGAUCAGCCACAUUGGGACUGAGACACGGCCCAGACUCCUACGGGAGGCAGCAGUGGGGAAUAUUGGACAAUGGGCGCAAGCCUGAUCCAGCCAUACCGCGUGUGUGAAGAAGGCCUUCGGGUUGUAAAGCACUUUAAGCAGGGAGAAAAAGUUAUAAGUUAAUACCUUAUAACCUUGAUGUUACCUGCAGAAUAAGCACCGGCUAAUUCCGUGCCAGCAGCCGCGGUAACACGGAAGGUGCAAGCGUUAAUCGGAAUUACUGGGCGUAAAGCGCGCGUAGGUGGUUUGUUAAGUUGGAUGUGAAAGCCCUGGGCUCAACCUAGGAACUGCAUCCAAAACUAACUCACUAGAGUACGAUAGAGGGAGGUAGAAUUCAUAGUGUAGCGGUGGAAUGCAUAGAUAUUAUGAAGAAUACCAGUGGCGAAGGCGGCCUCCUGGAUCUGUACUGACACUGAGGUGCGAAAGCGUGGGUAGCGAACAGGAUUAGAUACCCUGGUAGUCCACGCCGUAAACGAUGACAACUAGCUGUUGGAAGACAACGUCUUUCAGUGGCGCAGCUAACGUU
rnacentral:rRNA from 1 species